AGUCAGGUGGGUGGAGAAUGUAGGUGUUGAAUGUGGGUGGAGUCAGGUGGGUGGAGAAUGUAGGUGUUGAAUGUGGGUGGAGUCAGGUGGGUGGAGAAUGUAGGUGUUGAAUGUGGGUGGAGUCAGGUGGGUGGAGUAUGUAGGUGUUGAAUGUGGGUGGAGUCAGGUGGGUGGAGUAUGUAGGUGUUGAAUGUGGGUGGAGUCAGGUGGGUGGAGUAUGUAGGUGUUGAAUGUGGGUGGAGUCAGGUGGGUGGAGUAUGUAGGUGUUGAAUGUGG